CCUCUGUGAACACAACACAGCACAUCCACAGAAGAACUCCAGACUAUUCACCAUGUCCUCGCUGCUGGAAGGUGCUGGAAAAUUCCAAGAGAGUCUUGUGGAUUGGUUUUCCACGGAGAAGCACCAUCAGAGCUGGGCCUAAACUGCCCCCCAUGGAGCUUGUCAAGACCUUGGUUCCCAUUCCAUUCCUCCUAGGAAUGCAGGAAGAGCAAGACGUGACUCAAACACAGCUUGGGCACCUGGGUUUCCUUUCUAGAGGUUCCACAGUAACAGCAAGAGGGGAGAAGAUGAAAGGAAUGGAUAAGAAAUGCUCUCCAAAAUAACAAGGAUCUUAGCAGCAGACUUAGAAGAAAUGUAGAGUAGUCGACAGCACCUGCACUGAGACAUGAUAUUUUCAUCUAAAGCCAGAAUAAAGGUAAACUUUCCUCAGUA